rnacentral:rRNA from 1 species
AUUGAACGCUGGCGGCAUGCUUUACACAUGCAAGUCGAACGGCAGCGGGGAGGAGCUUGCUUCUCUGCCGGCGAGUGGCGAACGGGUGAGUAAUACAUCGGAACGUGUCGAGAAGAGGGGGAUAACCACCCGAAAGGGUGGCUAAUACCGCAUAAAUUCUGAGGAAGAAAGCUGGGGACCUAGGAAUAGGCCUAGCGCUUUUUGAGCGGCCGAUGUCGGAUUAGCUAGUUGGUGAGGUAAAGGCUCACCAAGGCGAAGAUCUGUAGCGGGUCUGAGAGGAUGAUCCGCCACACUGGGACUGAGACACGGCCCAGACUCCUACGGGAGGCAGCAGUGGGGAAUUUUGGACAAUGGGGGCAACCCUGAUCCAGCCAUGCCGCGUGUAUGAAGAAGGCCUUAGGGUUGUAAAGUACUUUUGUUAGGGAAGAAAAGUCAGCUGUGAAUAAUGGCUGAUACUGACGGUACCUAAAGAAUAAGCACCGGCUGACUACGUG